rnacentral:rRNA from 1 species
UGAGGAUUGACAGGAAGUAUCGUCUUUUGAAAUCUUUAAGCACAUGUCGUUUCUAAUGACAUCUUUUAGAUGAAUGAUUCGUGUAAAUAUGCUAGUUCUUUCAUGAUUAUGUGAUAGGUGGUGCAUGGCCGUUCUUAGUUCGUGGAGUGAUCUGUCUGCUUAAUUGCGUUUCACUAUGGCCCCAAAGUUAGCAAGUUAUCCAAUCAUGACCUUCGUCGACCCCUCACCUUUGAGUGCGCGUCCUAGCUUAGAGUACAUGGUGUAAAUGGACUUGUUUUGGGUACCCAGAAAGCAACGAACGUGACCGCAACGUCUUGUUGUCUCUCUUUUGACAGUUAUGGGUUAUCCCAGUCAUGUGUUUAUACUUUUAUGUGUAAAUACGUACGACACAGAGACUAGAUACCAAACUAGGCGUACCG